rnacentral:rRNA from 1 species
AGAGUUUGAUCCUGGCUCAGAGCGAACGCUGGCGGCGUGCUUAACACAUGCAAGUCGAACGAGUGUAGCAAUACAUUCGUGGCGAACGGGUGCGUAACACGUGGAUAACCUUCCUUCAAGUGGGGAAUAACCCAGUGAAAAUUGGGCUAAUACCGCAUAACAAGAUCGGGGCACAUGCUUUGAUCUUCAAAGGCGCGAGU